GCGGGGUGGUCGGAUCCUGGGCUGUGUCCCCGGUGUCCUGUGCUCCUGGGCCUGUGGUGUUGGAUUCGCGCUCCGGGGGGCAGCCCCCU
rnacentral:pre_miRNA from 1 species